rnacentral:rRNA from 1 species
GGUUAAGCGACUAAGCGUACACGGUGGAUGCCCUGGCAGUCAGAGGCGAUGAAGGACGUGCUAAUCUGCGAUAAGCGUCGGUAAGGUGAUAUGAACCGUUAUAACCGGCGAUUUCCGAAUGGGGAAACCCAGUGUGAUUCGUCACACUAUCAUUAACUGAAUCCAUAGGUUAAUGAGGCGAACCGGGGGAACUGAAACAUCUAAGUACCCCGAGGAAAAGAAAUCAACCGAGAUUCCCCCAGUAGCGGCGAGCGAACGGGGAGCAGCCCAGAGCCUGAAUCAGUGUGUGUGUUAGUGGAAGCGUCUGGAAAGGCGCGCGAUACAGGGUGACAGCCCCGUACACAAAAAUGCACAUGCUGUGAGCUCGAUGAGUAGGGCGGGACACGUGGUAUCCUGUCUGAAUAUGGGGGGACCAUCCUCCAAGGCUAAAUACUCCUGACUGACCGAUAGUGAACCAGUACCGUGAGGGAAAGGCGAAAAGAACCCCGGCGAGGGGAGUGAAAAAGAACCUGAAACCGUGUACGUACAAGCAGUGGGAGCACGCUUAGGCGUGUGACUGCGUACCUUUUGUAUAAUGGGUCAGCGACUUAUAUUCUGUAGCAAGGUUAACCGAAUAGGGGAGCCGAAGGGAAACCGAGUCUUAACUGGGCGUUAAGUUGCAGGGUAUAGACCCGAAACCCGGUGAUCUAGCCAUGGGCAGGUUGAAGGUUGGGUAACACUAACUGGAGGACCGAACCGACUAAUGUUGAAAAAUUAGCGGAUGACUUGUGGCUGGGGGUGAAAGGCCAAUCAAACCGGGAGAUAGCUGGUUCUCCCCGAAAGCUAUUUAGGUAGCGCCUCGUGAAUUCAUCUCCGGGGGUAGAGCACUGUUUCGGCAAGGGGGUCAUCCCGACUUACCAACCCGAUGCAAACUGCGAAUACCGGAGAAUGUUAUCACGGGAGACACACGGCGGGUGCUAACGUCCGUCGUGAAGAGGGAAACAACCCAGACCGCCAGCUAAGGUCCCAAAGUCAUGGUUAAGUGGGAAACGAUGUGGGAAGGCCCAGACAGCCAGGAUGUUGGCUUAGAAGCAGCCAUCAUUUAAAGAAAGCGUAAUAGCUCACUGGUCGAGUCGGCCUGCGCGGAAGAUGUAACGGGGCUAAACCAUGCACCGAAGCUGCGGCAGCGACGCUGAUGCGUUGUUGGGUAGGGGAGCGUUCUGUAAGCCUGCGAAGGUGUGCUGUGAGGCAUGCUGGAGGUAUCAGAAGUGCGAAUGCUGACAUAAGUAACGAUAAAGCGGGUGAAAAGCCCGCUCGCCGGAAGACCAAGGGUUCCUGUCCAACGUUAAUCGGGGCAGGGUGAGUCGACCCCUAAGGCGAGGCCGAAAGGCGUAGUCGAUGGGAAACAGGUUAAUAUUCCUGUACUUGGUGUUACUGCGAAGGGGGGACGGAGAAGGCUAUGUUGGCCGGGCGACGGUUGUCCCGGUUUAAGCGUGUAGGCUGGUUUUCCAGGCAAAUCCGGAAAAUCAAGGCUGAGGCGUGAUGACGAGGCACUACGGUGCUGAAGCAACAAAUGCCCUGCUUCCAGGAAAAGCCUCUAAGCAUCAGGUAACAUCAAAUCGUACCCCAAACCGACACAGGUGGUCAGGUAGAGAAUACCAAGGCGCUUGAGAGAACUCGGGUGAAGGAACUAGGCAAAAUGGUGCCGUAACUUCGGGAGAAGGCACGCUGAUAUGUAGGUGAAGUCCCUCGCGGAUGGAGCUGAAAUCAGUCGAAGAUACCAGCUGGCUGCAACUGUUUAUUAAAAACACAGCACUGUGCAAACACGAAAGUGGACGUAUACGGUGUGACGCCUGCCCGGUGCCGGAAGGUUAAUUGAUGGGGUCAGCGCAAGCGAAGCUCUUGAUCGAAGCCCCGGUAAACGGCGGCCGUAACUAUAACGGUCCUAAGGUAGCGAAAUUCCUUGUCGGGUAAGUUCCGACCUGCACGAAUGGCGUAAUGAUGGCCAGGCUGUCUCCACCCGAGACUCAGUGAUGAACUCGCUGUGAAGAUGCAGUGUACCCGCGGCAAGACGGAAAGACCCCGUGAACCUUUACUAUAGCUUGACACUGAACAUUGAGCCUUGAUGUGUAGGAUAGGUGGGAGGCUUUGAAGUGUGGACGCCAGUCUGCAUGGAGCCGACCUUGAAAUACCACCCUUUAAUGUUUGAUGUUCUAACGUUGACCCGUGAUCCGGGUUGCGGACAGUGUCUGGUGGGUAGUUUGACUGGGGCGGUCUCCUCCUAAAGAGUAACGGAGGAGCACGAAGGUUGGCUAAUCCUGGUCGGACAUCAGGAGGUUAGUGCAAUGGCAUAAGCCAGCUUGACUGCGAGCGUGACGGCGCGAGCAGGUGCGAAAGCAGGUCAUAGUGAUCCGGUGGUUCUGAAUGGAAGGGCCAUCGCUCAACGGAUAAAAGGUACUCCGGGGAUAACAGGCUGAUACCGCCCAAGAGUUCAUAUCGACGGCGGUGUUUGGCACCUCGAUGUCGGCUCAUCACAUCCUGGGGCUGAAGUAGGUCCCAAGGGUAUGGCUGUUCGCCAUUUAAAGUGGUACGCGAGCUGGGUUUAGAACGUCGUGAGACAGUUCGGUCCCUAUCUGCCGUGGGCGCUGGAGAACUGAGGGGGGCUGCUCCUAGUACGAGAGGACCGGAGUGGACGCAUCACUGGUGUUCGGGUUGUCAUGCCAAUGGCACUGCCCGGUAGCUAAAUGCGGAAGAGAUAAGUGCUGAAAGCAUCUAAGCACGAAACUUGCCCCGAGAUGAGUUCUCCCUGACUCCUUGAGAGUCCUGAAGGAACGUUGAAGACGACGACGUUGAUAGGCCGGGUGUGUAAGCGCAGCGAUGCGUUGAGCUAACCGGUACUAAUGAACCGUGAGGCUUAACCUU